CACUCCUGCGGGAGGCAGCAGUGGGGAAUUUUGGACAAUGGGCGAAAGCCUGAUCCAGCAAUGCCGCGUGUGUGAAGAAGGCCUUCGGGUUGUAAAGCACUUUUGUCCGGAAAGAAAUCCUUGGCUCUAAUACAGUCGGGGGAUGACGGUACCGGAAGAAUAAGCACCGGCUAACUACGUGCCAGCAGCCGCGGUAAUACGUAGGGUGCGAGCGUUAAUCGGAAUUACUGGGCGUAAAGCGUGCGCAGGCGGUUUGCUAAGACCGAAGUGAAAUCCCCGGGCUCAACCUGGGAACUGCAUUGGUGACUGGCAGGCUAGAGUAUGGCAGAGGGGGGUAGAAUUCCACGUGUAGCAGUGAAAUGCGUAGAGAUGUGGAGGAAUACCGAUGGCGAAGGCAGCCCCCUGGGCCAAUACUGACGCUCAUGCACGAAAGCGUGGGGAGCAAACAGGAUUAGAAACCCUAGUAGUCCCAUGAU
rnacentral:rRNA from 1 species